rnacentral:rRNA from 1 species
GCGAAUCAUUCACAAUGGGCGCAAGCCUGAUGAUGCCACGCCGCGUGCGGGAUGAAGGCCCUUUGGGUUGUAAACCGCUGUCAAGGAAGGGGAAACGUACGUCACGAACAGUGGCGUGCUUGACUGCUUUCUAAAGGAAGCCCCGGCAAAACAUGUGCCAGCAGCCGCGGUAAUACAUGUGGGGCAAGCGUUGUUCGGAAUUACUGGGCAUAAAGGGUGCGUAGGCGGUUUGUUAAGUCACUGGUGAAAGUUUUCGGCCCAACCGGAAAAUUGCCUGUGAUACUGGCGAACUUGAGUGCGGGAGGGGUGGGGGGAACGAGCAGUGUAGCGGUGAAAUGCGUAGAUAUUGCUCGGAAGGCCGGAGCCGAAGGGGCCCCACUGGUACGUAACUGACGCUGAGGCACGAAAGCGUGGGGAGCAAAC